UACGGGGGGGGCAAGCGUUGUUCGGAAUUACUGGGCGUAAAGGGCUCGUAGGCGGCCAACUAAGUCAGACGUGAAAUCCCUCGGCUUAACCGGGGAACUGCGUCUGAUACUGGAUGGCUAGAGGUUGGGAGAGGGAUGCGGAAUUCCAGGUGUAGCGGUGAAAUGCGUAGAUAUCGGGAGGAACACCAGUGGCGAAGGCGACUUCCUGGCCUGUUCUUGACGCUGAGGCGCGAAAGCUAGGGUAGCAAACGGG
rnacentral:rRNA from 1 species